AUUGAACGCUGGCGGCAGGCCUAACACAUGCAAGUCGAGCGGAUGAAAGGGGCUUGCUCCUGGAUUCAGCGGCGGACGGGUGAGUAAUGCGCAGGAAUCUACCUAGUAGUGGGGGAGUAACGUUUCGAAGGAACGCUAAUACCGCAUACGUUCUGAGGAAGAAAGACAGGGGAGUCGUAAGACCUUGCGCUAUUAGAUGAGCUUGCGUCCGAUUAGCUAGUUGGUGGGGUAAAGGACCUACCAAGGCGACGAUCGGUAACUGGUCUGAGAGGAUGAUCAGUCACACUGGAACUGAGACACGGUCCAGACUCCUACGGGAGGCAGCAGUGGGGGAAGUAUUGGACAAUGGGGGCGAACCCUGAUCCAGCCAUGCCGCGUGUGUGAAGAAGGCCUCGGUU
rnacentral:rRNA from 1 species